GCCACCUUAGCUCAGCUGGUAGAGCAGCUCAUUCGUAAUGAGCGGGUCGUAGGUUCGAGUCCUAUAGGUGGCUCCA
rnacentral:tRNA from 1 species